rnacentral:rRNA from 1 species
UACGUAGGGUGCAAGCGUUGUCCGGAAUUAUUGGGCGUAAAGGGCUCGUAGGCGGUCUGUCGCGUCGGGAGUGAAAACUCAGGGCUUAACCCUGAGCCUGCUUCCGAUACGGGCAGACUAGAGGUAUGCAGGGGAGAACGGAAGUUCCUGGUGUAGCGGUGAAAUGCGCAGAUAUCAGGAGGAACACCGGUGGCGAAGGCGGUUCUCUGGGCAUUACCUGACGCUGAGGAGCGAAAGUGUGGGGAGCGAACAGG